rnacentral:lncRNA from 1 species
CUAUCAAUGAUCAUCGUGGGUGUGUGCGGCCCAUUGAUUAUGAUGUUCCAUAAAUCACAGUUAAGUGCUUGGACGAAUAUGUGCAUGCGUGCUUUCCAAUAUGUGUAAUUGGUGCCAUUAAAGAGUGGUGGUCUAUUUGUGGAUUGUCCUUCUGUCACGGCUCCGCGAAUCGGGGCUGGACCGGACGCGGAUCAAGGUAUAAACCAGAUCAGGUCGCUGGACGGGUUCGAGGUCUGACCGUGCUCUUUGGAGAUUUGGGCAAUUUGGAGACCAAAUCUGGGCCCUAGGACCACCUAGGGAAAUGUGUGCAAGAUCUAGGAGGAAUACCCAAGAGCAUGGGGCCGUAGGCAUGUGCUCCAAGGCGUGUAUUGUUGAGAAUACAUGUUGGUUCAUCAUCAGGAGGAAAGCAGCUGCAACGAGACUGAUUCAACGUUGUAGGCUUAUCUCGAAGCAUGUACUGAAUCCGAGAAAUUGGGAUGCAUGGAAAUGCGUGCCACUAAUGGAGAAACGUGGCAUAAGUCUCGAGAAGGCAAGGGACACAUUUUAACACGUUUUCAUAACUGAAAGAUGUACGGUUAGAAAACGUGG